AGCUUUGCGCAGUGGCAGUAUCGUAGCCAAUGAGGUUUAUCCGAGGCGCGAUUAUUGCUAAUUGAAAGUUUUCAUCAAAUUUGGAAAACAUUGGUCGUUAUUUCUUCCUAUGUUCUUUCAGUUGUCCUCUCUCAUAUUUCAGGG
rfam:Mustela putorius furo unplaced genomic scaffold scaffold00055, whole genome shotgun sequence.